UACGAAGGGGGCUAGCGUUGCUCGGAUUGACUGGGCGUAAAGGGCGCGUAGGCGGUUUGCACAGUCAGACGUGAAAUUCCUGGGCUCAACCUGGGGGCUGCGUUUGAUACGUGUAGACUUGAGUGCGGAAGAGGGUCGUGGAAUUCCCAGUGUAGAGGUGAAAUUCGUAGAUAUUGGGAAGAACACCGAUGGCGAAGGCAGCCAUCUGGACCGACACUGACGCUGAGGCGCGAAAGCGUGGGGAGCAAACAGG
rnacentral:rRNA from 1 species